rnacentral:lncRNA from 1 species
UAGUAGAAGCCCAGUUUCCAGCUCUACUUCCUCCUCCUCGUAGGCUAACUGCCCCAUGGCUUUUUAUGUUUACCAACACAACUACUUACAACAGAACAACUGAUGAAACACUAUGGCUGCUGAUAUGAAAUGAGACCCAUUGAUGAAAAUGGAGGUGCAAAGAUGGGAUCUUUUUUAUAUGGGUUGUUUUGUUUUGGUGGGAAAAUG